ACGACUACAUAUCAGGCAUAUCAAUAAGCGGAGGAAAAGGCAGCAGCCGAGUAUCCCAAUUAUAUUGCUUUUGACUUUAUGGGGAAGUCUACCACCUAUAAGACACUGAUCAGACAGAUUGAAGAAUGUGCAAAGGCACUGAAGACAUUGGGGGUUCGCAAGAAUGAUUGUGUAACGGUUGCUAUGCCCAAUUGUCCGCAGGCAAUCUGUAUUUUUUAUGCAAUCAAUCUUGUUGGCGGUAUAGCCAAUAUGAUACACCCGCUUUUCUGCCAAAAUGAAAUUGAAUUUUACCUCAAUGAAUCGGAAAGUACGACAGUGAUAACGCUGGAUCAGUUUUACAGCAAGUUUGAAGCAGUGCGCAAAAAUACCGGUGUUGUCAACAUUGUACUGGCCAGCAUCCGGGAUGCACUUUCACCCACCAUCAGAGCAGGAUAUAUGCUGACCGAGGGGGCGCAAGAUAGAGAAAAUUCCCGACGAUGCACCGGUAAUCCGCUGGAAACAGUUUUUGAAACUGGGAAAAUGUUGCUUCUGGAACUACAAGGUGAAGCGCAGCGCAGAAGAUCCCGCGGCGAUUCCUUAUUCCGGAGGUACAACAGGAACCACCAAAGGGAUUUUGCUUACAAACUAUAAUUUCAAUGCAUUGGCGGCGCAGAUUGUUGCCACCAAUCCCAUGUUUGAGCCGGGAGACAGAAUGCUGGCUGCCAUGCCGCUGUUCCAUGGUUUUGGGCUGGGGGUAUGCAUUCAUCCCAUGUUGGCCAAUGGUGGACGGUGUGUUCUUGUACCGCGGUUUACGCCUAAAAGUUAUGCCGGACUGAUUGUGAAAUACCGCUGUAACUUCAUUGCAGGGGUACCUACGCUUAGGAUGUUGAGUAGCGACAUACGCAC
rnacentral:rRNA from 1 species